rnacentral:rRNA from 1 species
AUUGAACGCUGGCGGAAUGCUUUACACAUGCAAGUCGAACGGCAGCACGGGAGCUUGCUCCUGGUGGCGAGUGGCGAACGGGUGAGUAACAUAUCGGAACGUACCCCGUCGUGGGGGAUAACUCUCCGAAAGGAGUGCUAAUACCGCAUACGACCUGAGGGUGAAAGCGGGGACCGUGCAAGGGCCUCGCGCGAUGGGAGCGGCCGAUAUCGGAUUAGCUAGUUGGUGAGGUAAAGGCUCACCAAGGCGACGAUCGGUAGCUGGUCUGAGAGGAUGAUCAGCCACACUGGGACUGAGACACGGCCCAGACUCCUACGGGAGGCAGCAGUGGGGGAAUUUUGGACAAUGGGCGAAAGCCUGAUCCAGCCAUGCCGCGUGCGGGAAGAAGGCCUGGUUGU